GAAGUUUGAUGGAGAUAACCCAAUUAGGGAAUUCCAAAUUGACCUAAAAUAAUUCCAGGGGAAAAUCUUCCCUGGGUUCAGAAUUUGCAGUUAGAUGUGAACAUCAUAACAGCUAUUUGAUGAUCAUGUAUGAUACUGAAAACAGGA